UACCAGUGGUUUUUGGGAUCG
ensembl:piRNA 21ur-4418 ncRNA